rnacentral:rRNA from 1 species
CCUACGGGAGGCAGCAGUGGGGAAUAUUGCACAAUGGGGGAAACCCUGAUGCAGCGACGCCGCGUGAGUGAAGAAGGAUUUCGGGAUGGAAAGCUCUAGCAGCAGGGAAGAAGAAAGACGGUACCUGACGAAGAAGCGCCGGCGAACUACGUGCCAGCAGCCGCGGUAAGACGUAGGGGGCAAGCGUUAGCCGGAUUUACGGGGUGGAAAGGGAGCGUAGACGGCUGUGCAAGUCUGAAGUGAAAGCCCAGGGCUCAACCCUGGGACUGCUUUGGAAACUGUGGAGCUAGAGUGCUGGAGAGGUCAGUGGAAUUCCUCGUGUCGCGGUGACAUGCUUAGAUAUUAGGCG